UGGGCGUAAGCGCACGCAGGCGGUCUGUCAAGUCGGAUGUGAAAUCCCCGGGCUCAACCUGGGAACUGCAUUCGAAACUGGCAGGCUAGAGUCUUGUAGAGGGGGGUAGAAUUCCAGGUGUAGCGGUGAAAUGCGUAGAGAUCUGGAGGAAUACCGGUGGCGAAGGCGGCCCCCUGGACAAAGACUGACGCUCAGGUGCGAAAGCGUGGGGAGCAAACAGGAUUAGAUACCCUGGUAGUCCACGCUGUAAACGAUGUCGAUUUGGAGGUUGUGCCCUUGAGGCGUGGCUUCCGGAGCUAACGCGUUAAAUCGACCGCCUGGGGAGUACGGCCGCAAGGUUAAAACUCAAAUGAAUUGACGGGGGCCCGCACAAGCGGUGGAGCAUGUGGUUUAAUUCGAUGCAACGCGAAGAACCUUACCUGGUCUUGACAUCCACAGAACUUUCCAGAGAUGGAUUGGUGCCUUCGGGAACUGUGAGACAGGUGCUGCAUGGCUGUCGUCAGCUCGUGUUGUGAAAUGUUGGGUUAAGUCCCGCAACGAGCGCAACCCUUAUCCUUUGUUGCCAGCGGUUAGGCCGGGAACUCAAAGGAGACUGCCAGUGAUAAACUGGAGGAAGGUGGGGAUGACGUCAAGUCAUCAUGGCCCUUACGACCAGGGCUACACACGUGCUACAAUGGCAUAUACAAAGAGAAGCGACCUCGCGAGAGCAAGCGGACCUCAUAAAGUAUGUCGUAGUCCGGAUUGGAGUCUGCAACUCGACUCCAUGAAGUCGGAAUCGCUAGUAAUCGUAGAUCAGAAUGCUACGGUGAAUACGUUCCCGGGCCUUGUACACACCGCCCGUCACACCAUGGGGAGUGGGUUGCAAAAGAAGUAGGUAGCUUAACCUUCGGGAGGGCGCUUACCACUUUGUGAUUCAUGACUGGGGGUGAGUCG
rnacentral:rRNA from 1 species